GAUACAAAACCAACAAACACAAAAAUGAAUUUCUUCAUCUUUAUUUGGAUUCUGGGAGCUUUUAUUCCAGAAUCCAGAGGAGUCACUGUAACUCAGACUGAAGUUGUGACUAAAACUGCAGGAGAAGAAGUCACUAUAAAGUGUAAAACUGAUCCUGGAAUAUAUAGUGAUGGUUUAGCUUGGUAUCAGCAGAAACCUGGAGAAGCUCCAAAACUCAUCAUAUAUGACAUAAAAACUCGGUAUGGUGAUAGUUUUCAGCGAUUCACUGGAAAAGGACAAAAUUAUGGAACUGAUUUCACUCUGACCAUCAGUGGAGUCCAGACUGAAGAUGCAGGACAUUAUUACUGUCAGAGUGCACACAUCAUCAGUGGCAGUUAUGUGUUCACACAGUGA